rnacentral:rRNA from 1 species
UACGGAGGAUGCGAGCGUUAUCCGGAUUUAUUGGGUUUAAAGGGAGCGCAGGCUGCGGGGCAAGUCAGCGGUCAAAUGUCGGGGCUCAACCCCGGCCUGCCGUUGAAACUGUCCUGCUAGAGUUCGAGUGAGGUAUGCGGAAUGCGUUGUGUAGCGGUGAAAUGCAUAGAUAUGACGCAGAACUCCGAUUGCGAAGGCAGCAUACCAACUCGCGACUGACGCUGAGGCUCGAAAGCGUGGGUAUCGAACAGG